rnacentral:lncRNA from 1 species
ACGAGCCUUACCGUCAUCAAGGCUAUUUGUCAGUGUCGCGAGAAGCUCGGCAAUAUCAUCGGAGUCGUUCACAUAGUACCCUGCGCCUGACCGUUUCCGCCCGACUGUGCAUGUAAUCGGAGUCCUGAAAGUUGUCAAAAUUGAAGGUUUGUCGUCAUCGUUUCCUUUCGAAUCGACCGCAUCAUUCACGUCCCCAGUCUGCUUACUAUGCGCAUCAUUGCCCUGUUGAUCGCUUUCAAACACAUUUGCUAAGCUUUCAACCCGGUGGGGGUUUUUGAUCUUUUGUUUUGAAGGAUGCUGCACUGCAGGGAUGUGACGAUGUCUGAAUACUGCCGAGGAGCCAUAAUUGAUAUACUCAAAUAUGUCUUCGUCUCGACCAAGAAAGUGACCGCAACACAUAACAAAGUCGACCUGCCGAUGUUCAAUAGCUGCCGGUGGAGGUGCAGUAUUUUCAUGGUCCUGCUGAUCAAUUCCGGUGAAAAUGUUAUCAGUCGAUCUGAAGGUCGCCAUGUGUGAUACUACAUCAGUCUGUUCUCCCGUUGAUGCAUGAAUCCUGGUUUCGGGAGGAACAUGCUCACAACUCUCUUCUCGCCUUAUCAAUGAAGAUGAACCGAAUUCUCCCAUCAUCGAGACGAUUCGCUCAACUGCGGCACCUUUGCUCACACCUAUUGGCCUUACCUCCACAGACUUCGCACCCUGAAUGACAUCAACUGCCGCAUUUGAAAUGGGUCCAGUCCACAAAUGUUGCAAAAGGUCCCUGGCUUGCUGUCGGCCGAAGUCAGGGUCGGCAUACUUGUAACUCCAUACCAAGGACGUCUCUCGUGUUUCAACAUAACUUCGUGGAGUGCGCUCGCAAAAAUAGUCAAACACCAACUGCACACUCUCUAUCCAGUCGAGAUUGGAUGUUUCUACCAUCGUAAUCCACUUCCCUGUGCCUCCCACACCAAGUUGACAAUGCUUGCCCUCUAACGGUGGGCGAAUGAAACACCCGUUUUCAGCUGCAAUCCAAAGCUUUGGUAGAUGGGCGAAUGCCUGGCUCAAUCGAUUCCUUUCAGAGCCACUGAAGAUGCAUAGCGUGGUGGUCGGAUCGUCACAAAGUCUUUGCAAACAUUCUUGCGACACAGGAUGAAUUCUAGUGGCUGUUUUUAUCGGCUUCAUGGGAAGUACUCCACUUCGAACCUGUCUUUUGGAGCUAUCAGCCUGUACUGUAAGUGUUGCAUUGAAACCCUGCGAAGAAUAGGAGGUCAGAAAGAUCGAACACGUUAUGUUAACGUUUUUCGCUCACCAGAAUAAUCAGUCUGUGUCGCGCAGUCACAAAUGAAUUGAUUAUCGUCAUGGGGACGAGCUGCGGGGGAAUGCGCUUGCGCCGCAACUCGGCCUCAACAUGUGUGUCGUUCAGCUCUGAUACGAAAGUGUCUGCCCAUGCUUGGGCCGUAUGGAUUGUUACAUGUGUGAAAUUCUGUCUUUGCCGCUCGCGCCUUUCAGCAUCUGGCAUCGUCAAAGCAUCCUCGAUCGCAGCAGCCAUGUCAUUGACAUUCCAUGGGUUUACAAGAAGCGCACCUGCGCCAAGGCUCUGAGCGGCCCCAGCGAACUCCGACAGCACCAGCACUCCUGCAUUUUUGCUCUGACAGGAAACAAAUUCGUAGCUGACAAGGUUCAUGCCGUCCCUGAGAGAGGUCACCAAACACACAUCCGUGACAGCAUAAAGGGCACAAAGUUCGGUGAAGGCGAGCGAGCAAUCGAGGUGCUGGAUUGGUACAGAUCCGAGAGUGCCGAAUCUACCGUUGAUCCGCCCAACUAUUUCAUGUACCUGAGACGUCAGUCUUUGGUACUCAGCAACAUCUGUUCUAGUGGGGACUGCGAUCUGUACCAAUAAGACCCUGUCGCGCCACUCUGGGUGUUCCGAUAAAAACUUUUCAAAUCCGAGUAGCUUCUGUGGAAUCCCCUUGAUCAUGUCAAGUCUAUCCACU